UGGGAUGAGUGCUGGGUCAACUUAUAUAUCCUUAACAAAAGCAUUCUGGUCACAUAGGAAAUUAACAUUCAUGUCGUAUCUUCUUACAUGAUUUGCGAAGAGUAGAAUAACAAAAUCAUUUCACUAGUACUUCAUUUACAGAAUUUUCUAAUAUAAAACAAGUAAUGUUCGAAACAAGAGAACAUAGAAUAGAAUUAAUCAAAAGCUAUGAAAAGAAAACCCAUCAUCCUGCGUAAGUUUUGCUGCACGCAUAUGCCAUUAUCAUCACGUUGUUCAGCAAUCUCUUGUUGAUGUGUUGGAGUUCUUCUUAAAGCCCUCUUCACGUCGAGAUUCCGUUGCCACCAAACAAGAAAAAUCGUAUAUAGUAUCUCCUCACUGGAAACCGAGAAAAGAAGCCUUCGAUCAUCAGUGACCUCUCCCACGAUGACUUGGUCCAGAAUAAGCUCUGUCUAGGACGAUCUCUGAUUGCAAUGAACUCAGAGACUGGCGUCCUAGAGGUCUCACAGCUUCGACGUGCGAACUGUACGUGAGCAUGAGAAGGAAGAAGAGGAUCAAGAAGGCGUUAAGAAACACGAUGAGAGAUUUUUGGGACCUCAUCCUUCUUCCCUUUGCUGUUUCAGUCUUGAUUUGUUA
rnacentral:lncRNA from 1 species